rnacentral:misc_RNA from 1 species
AUCCCCUGCGUCCAGGAUCUCCAGGUCUCCAAUAAUCAGGAAACUGGAAGGCAAUCUUACAAUAGAUCAUCAAAGCUCCAAAACUUCACUUAUGACCAUUACAAAAUGGAAUAGAAUAUGCCAUGGUUAAUUUCCUUUGAUUACAUGAUAGUAUAGCCUAUCUCCUUUGCUCUAUGGACUACCAGAGUACCAGUACAUAUAUCCCUUCGGAGAAACAAUUCUUGCGGUCAGAUUGGCAACGCUCGAGUGUUAUCAGAGUAUAUAUCUUGUCAUCAUAUGACAGCCAACCAUAUCCACGACCCAUCUCUCCCAUCACCUGAACAGCCAACACUGACGUUGUGCGAAAACUACCAAUGUGUACUUGGAUACAUUUCAAGUUUCUUUUGUUUGAAAAAAUAAUGACUCGGAAGCCCUUCG